rnacentral:antisense_RNA from 1 species
GAGGGCAUUGCCGGUCGGAUCCCAG